CCUACGGGAGGCAGCAGUGAGGAAUAUUGGUCAAUGGACGCAAGUCUGAACCAGCCAUGCCGCGUGCAGGAAGACGGCUCUAUGAGUUGUAAACUGCUUUUGUACGAGGGUAAACGCAGAUACGCGUAUCUGUCUGAAAGUAUCGUACGAAUAAGGAUCGGCUAACUCCGUGCCAGCAGCCGCGGUAAUACGGAGGAUUCAAGCGUUAUCCGGAUUUAUUGGGUUUAAAGGGUGCGUAGGCGGUCGGAUAAGUUAGAGGUGAAAUCCCGAGGCUCAACUUCGGAAUUGCCUCUGAUACUGUUCGGCUAGAGAGUAGUUGCGGUAGGCGGAAUGUAUGGUGUAGCGGUGAAAUGCUUAGAGAUCAUACAGAACACCGAUUGCGAAGGCAGCUUACCAAGCUACUUCUGACGUUGAGGCACGAAGGCGUGGGGAGCGAACAGGAUUAGAUACCCCAGUAGUC
rnacentral:rRNA from 1 species